ACUGAUAAACAUAGAUACUCUCUCUCUCUCUCUCUCUCUCUCUAGCUUUGCAAAGAUUAAGAAUCCCAGUUCACUGACAAGAUUUUGAGGUCGUCAAGGUCUAUGCAAAAAAACCCAGUUAAAAGAUGUCAACACCAGAACAAGUUUCAAGGAUAUAUAAAGUCCGAAAAACAGUGUUUCAAAUGCUGAGGGAUCGUGGUUAUAGUGUUGAUGAUUCUGAGAUCAACAUGACAAGACAGCAGUUUACUCAGCAUUUUGGUGAAAGAAUUAAAAGGGAUGAGCUUUUUAUCCAUAAAAGCAAGGAACAAGAUUCCUCCGAUCAGAUUUAUGUCUUCUUUCCUGAGGGACAAGUUGGUGCUGGAGUAGUAAAGAAUUUGGCCCAGCGUCUGAAAGCUGAUAAUAUUUUCAGUGCAAUUGUGGUUGCUCAAAACCGUUUGACGGCACAAGCCAAACACGGUGUUGAAGAAGUCAAUAAACUUAUCCGCAUGGAGGUCUUUGAGGAAAAAGAAUUAGUGGUCAAUAUAACAGAACAUGUUUUAGUUCCUAAACAUGUAGUACUAUCCAACGAUGAAAAGAAGGAGAUGCUGAAGAAGUAUGGAUUAAAGGAUUUACAGACGGACAGGUCAAACACUGGUUGAUCAUGCAGUACAGCCUUAUUUGACUCUUAAGGCCUGUCAUGCAAUGAAUAUGGUAAAACAAAAAUAAGAAAGAGAGAUGAUAGGAUAUAUUUGCUGAGACUUCAGUAAGGAAAGAGAGAGUUUCAGCUAUAAAGAAAGACAAUAGAUGCUGCUGCCUGAGGAAUUACUCACAAGUGAACAGCAAAACUGUUUCUCUACACAGCAGGUUCUGCCACUUAAAAUACUCCACAUGAAAUAAUAUAUUUUAGCUACUGCUACCACAGAUAUUGGUACGUGAUCCAGUUGCUAAGUAUUAUGGGCUUAGACGUGGGCAAGUUGUGAAGAUCAUCCGAGAAAGUAUGACUGCUGAUGAAUAUGAAACGUAUAGACUUGCUGUAUAAAAUUCCUAUGGUGCUCUGCAGGG